AUCUCACCUGAAAUAUCAAAGUCUAACUUCCACGGGGAAGAACUCGAGAGAGGGUGGAUGUCUGGAAUAUUGAGGGGGUAAAACGUGACCUGACCAUUUUGUGGGAAAAAGUUGUGUCUAGGAGGCUUAGACAUAUUCAUUCAUUCAGUAGUAUCUAUUGAGUGCUUACUAUGUGCAGAGCACUGUACUAAGCGCUUGGAAUGUACAAAUCGGUAACAGAUAGAGACAGUCCCUGCCCUAUGACGGGCUUACGGUCUAAUCGGGGGAGACAUAUCUUGUUUCUGAAGUUGUUUAGUUGGGAGUUUGUUUUUUAAAUGGUACUUGUUAGGAAAGAGCUUACUAUGUGCCACAAACUGUACUGUACAUUAGGAUAGAUACAAGAUAAUCAGGUUGGUCACAGUCCCUUGUCCCACCUGGGCUCACCAUUUUAAUUGAAGGGAGGAGGAUUUAAUCCCCAUUUUACAGAUGAGGUAACUGAGGCAUGGAAAAGUUAAGUGACUUGCCCAAAGUCACACAACAGGCAAGUGGCAGAUCUGGGAUUAGAACCCAAAUACUCCAUCUCCCAGGGUGUACUCUUUACCUCUAGGCCCCUGGAAAGGAAGAUGAAAAACUAAAUUCCAAAAACUACUUUGAAAAUUCCAGACUGAACUCUGUCUCCUUCCCCACCCUGCUUCCUCCAUAGGAGCGGUUUCUGAGACCCGACGUAUGUUUCAUCACCUCCUAAAGAGAAGGCGGGAAUCUCUGGAGGUAUUUCAAAACACUGCCGGAAACAUUACAGCCACUAUGGCAGACAACCGAAUCAGCUAAUGGGAACUCAGGACUCAGUGGCAACAGGAGAUGAUAAUGGAGAGCCUUGCUUGGUGUUCUUUCCUGGCUACUUGGUGCUCUCUGGGCCACCAGAAAGACAAAUAACCUCAUGCUGCCUGGCCCGAUCACUUCUCUUGAGAUCUCUGAGCGCAUGCAGAUUACUGAGAAGAAUAGCAGACGCACAGCCCUACGUUACCACUGGCAAAUUUAAAACAGAAGCUUGUGUUUGAGAAACUAAUAUACUAGGAGAAGCUUAAAGUGGGUUGACAUUGUCACAGAGUGCUCAAGUAGAGAUUUUCCAUUCUCACGGCUGAAAGCAGAGGAAGUGAAAUGUGGGAGCAUGUGGCAAAUUUCAAAAUUUUUGAAAACUCUUCAGAUACCUGAACAAGUUGUGGGUUUUACAAAUGCAAUCUCGAUCCAUUCUGAAGAUACAGGCAAUGGGUCUGCUCCUUAAAACCUGCAGGAAGAGACUAAGGGAGUGGGAAAGAUGGGUUUCCUUUUUCUGCUUAGUGCAGCAGAAAACUGUAGCUGGCCUCCAUCCUGUCGCCACCCAGUUGAUUUUUUUUUUCUGCUUCAGCGGGAAAAUGGUGU
rnacentral:lncRNA from 1 species